rnacentral:rRNA from 1 species
GGACGAACGCUGGCGGCGUGCUUAACACAUGCAAGUCGAGCGGUAAGGCCCUUUCGGGGGUACACGAGCGGCGAACGGGUGAGUAACACGUGGGUGACCUGCCCUCAGCUCUGGGAUAAGCCCGGGAAACUGGGUCUAAUACCGGAUAUGACUCCAUGACGCAUGUUGUGGGGUGGAAAGCCUUGUGCGGCUGAGGAUGGGCCCGCGGCCUAUC